CCUUUGCGGUAAGAAGACUAUGGCCGUUUCUCAGUACGUAACUGUCCGGACUUACGUUCUGACGUACUCGUGAAACGUCAUCAUGGAGACUGUAUCGGACCAGACGAGUGGCAUAGAUAUGGUCUGAACGUCUGUUAGCAUCUCUGGCUGCUGUUGACCUGUUUUUUUUUGGAGUGAAACACGAUGUUCAGAGGGAGAUGAUGCCACAUCUAGUCCAGCUGAUGGAAGGUCUUGAAGUUCUCUGACUGGCCUGGACUGAAGAUGGUCGUCUCACUGGAUUUAAGGUUCAGAUGCUCAGUAACAAACUCCACCAAUGAGCCAACAGGGAAGCUUUAGGUUCAUUAAAUGUUGCUAUGAAGGUUUCACUGUUUUUCUUUGUGGAUGCAAUGUGCUCCAACUGAAACUUGAAUUACAACUUAGAAGUAAAUCCUUCCAUCUGAAAGGAUUUAGUUGCAUUAAUAACCUCAUAACAUUCUAAUUUUUAUUCCAGUCUUGGUUGGAAAUAGAAUCUCUGUAUUGAUUCAGGUAAAAACUGAACUUCACAGCAUGUUGGAGCAAAACAACCAGAUGAAAACUGUGAUGGUGUUGGAUUGUCAGACUGUAAUGUUGCAGCUCAAAGCAGCUUUUCUAUCUCAGUUCAUUCUGACAUUCAGCUAUGAAUCAACACAGCAGAUGGUGAUCCAUGCUGUGGAAGUCUCACAUCUCCUGAUUUAAUGGAGCUGCUUUGCACUUUUUACACUGUUUAUUCACCAACUCUUUAUUUAAUAAAAGUCCCAUCUAGUUUUUAUGAGGAAUGUGAUGUUUUAAUUUCUCUGUGAAUAACUGCAGUCUAAUGGAACAGCUGGAAUUGUAACAUCUGUCCUGAUAUUGAUCAUGAAGUAUUGAUCAGAAUACUUAUGGUCAGCAGUCAUCCCUGAAGUUUUACAUUAAAAUCUUUACUUGUGUUGUGAACUUUGGUAAGAAGCAGAAACUUUAGCGUUGCCAUGGAUACAUGAGUGUUAAAUUCUGUCCAUGUUUCCAUUUUGGGAAAUUCAGUCCAGCAGAUGAGUUUGUUUUUACUGCCAGCUACAUUCAGUCUGAGAUAUUAAGAAUAAAUAAAUGUGCAUAAUGUGGAAAUGAACAGAUUCUAUUUUUAUUUAUUCCUACAGAUGCUGCAGGUAAAGUUAUAGAAUGUGGAGGAAUUUAGUCUCACAAUAAAUAUUAUCUGAAAGUCGGAUUAUUGUUGUUUAUCAGCACAAUACAAAAAGAUUCAUGUUAGAAAUAUUCCAGUUAAGACUCUAGAAUAUCAGGAUUUAUUUAAAUUUACCUCAAUAAUAUGAAUGUUCAGGUUGUGCAGUGAUAUUUAUUAUGUGAGUUUAGCUGAUAAAAGUUUAUUAUUUAAAUUGACAUCAUUAUUAUAAUAUUUAAGGUCAGACUCUACAGUAUUGAGAUUAAGAAAUCAAAUAUUCUAUAAAAUGUAAAUACACUGAACUCAUUUGGCGAUAUUUAAGUGAGACUCUACAAUAUUAUUUAUGACACAAAUCUAUCUAAAUCAAAAUUUUAAUCAUUUUUACUCCAAACAUUUACUGGACUGAUUUAAACAUUAAAAUCACUUCUUUCUAAUCCUCUGCUGUACGUUCAAACCUGAGGCCUUAAAUAGAAACACACAAGUAUCUGAUUGAAGGAACUUCUGCAGAGUCCUGGUUCCAGAACAUGAUCAUAGAAUUAUAGACAAACUUUAACAAAAGCUGCCUGAGAGUUUACAGGUUUUUAUGUUAGAUUUCUUCAGUAAUUUAAUGAGAGUUAUCAGCAAAAAUCAAGUGUUCAUUUGAUGAACUUCAUUUCCUAAAACAUCCAGAAUUGGAGCUCAUAUCUUUGGAAGCUGUAAAGUUUCUGCUCCUUCAAAGUUCACAACACAAUGAAUGAAUUCCUAAAACACUCUCAAUGCUGGAGAGCUUUUGAUGCUGAAGCAGUGAUCAGUUUUUCUGUUUCUUCUCUGGAGAUGCACAAUGAGGGACGUCUGCAGUGACUGAGAAAGAGUCUCACCACAUCCUGACAUGAGGAAAAAGACUUUAUUGAAGACUACAAUGAGAAAAACUAUCAGACAGCAGACGGCUGCAUUCAAGGUGAGAUCUGAACAUUUGAUCUGGAACAGGAAUUCAAUAACGGCAGCAUGAGCUUCAUUUCAGUCUGUAGCUGCUGAAUUCAUGGAUGAAUCAUCUGGCACUAGAGAGGAAGACCAUCAAACAUCCACGUCAGCUGAUGGAGGUCCAAGAGUCUCACCCAACAAACAACCUACAGAGUGAAGACCUUCAGUCUGAUUGGACGGCCUCCUAUUCAGCCACAUUUUAGGCUGUUAGAUUGUUCCAGAUAAGACAAGUACAAGAUUCUUCAGAGCCGUUCUACCACGAGCCUGACAGGAAGAACUCCAACAGCUACUGAAUGUUCCUGUGGUUCCCUCAAGGCUACAGGAGGAGCCCUAUGAGGACGAGCUGGUCCACCUGAUGGAGGCCAGUCGCUGCGGUUCAAAGCCAACACCGACUACGUGGACUUCUACUGGACCACACGGAGGCCUUCAAACCGGACCAACAAGUUCAGCGACUCCCCGACUCGUGGGUCUGAGGACGCCGCCGAGCCUCGGUCCAGCCGGCCUCCUGUCUGUGGGUGUUUGAGUGCUGAGAGGUUUGUGGAUGCAUGUGAACGUUCUGUGUUGAAACAGCAGCUUUGGACUCAGUAACGCCGGGAAAAACCAAGAGCUCCUUUAUUUGUGACUUCCACUAAAAAAACUGAUGAAAAUAAGUUUACCAGGAUUCUGACUGAUAACAGGUUAUUAAAUAAUGAAAAUAAUCCUUUAAAUAUUCCUUUAAACAAUCCUUUUAGGUCUACAUUUUCUUUACACUGACUUCUUGGUAAAUGUACAAGUAUUUUGGGUGGAAUAUACCAUUAAGCCUGAUGUUCAAGGGUUCUUCUGGGAAUAUACCAUUAAACCAACCUUUUAGGUAAAUGUUCCAGGAUGUUGGGUAGAAUAUACCAUCAGAUCAACCUUUUAGGUCUAUAUUGGAAGAUUUUAGAGUAGAAUAUUACUCCAAACCAUCCUUUAGGUCUACAUUUAAGGUGGAAUACUCCUUUACACCAAGAUUUUUUUGGUCUACAUUGGAGGAUUUUAGGUGGAAUAUUCCUUUGAUUGAACUUUUUAAGUUUAUGUUCCAGGAUGUUGGGUGGAAUAUACCAUCAGACCAACCUCCAAGGUCUACAGUAGUGAAUUUUAGGUGGAAUAUACCAUUAAACUCACCUUUUAGGUCUACAUUGGAGGAUUUUAGGUAGAAUUUUCUUCCAAACCAUCUUUUAGUCUACAUUUAAGGAUGUUUAGGAUUGUAUAUUCUUCCAAACCAACUUCUCAGGUCUACAUUUCAGGUGGAUUCCUCCAUACUAACUUUUUUGGUCUACAUUGAAGGAUUUUUUCUAAACCACCCUUUGGGGUCUAUAUUUGAGGUUUUAGGUGGAAUAUUCCUUUUAACCAGCCCCUCAGGUGUCUUUGAGGAUUUUGGAUGGAAUACUCUGUUAAAGCAACAUUUUAGGUGCAUGUCCAAGGAUUUUUGGUGGAAUGUUCCAUUAAGGUGGAUGUGUGAGGACCUUGUAGGUGGAAUACUUCCUGAAACCAACCUUUUAGGUCAACAUUCAAAGAUUUAAGGUGGAAUAUUCCUUUAAACCAACCUAAAUUUCAUGUUUUGAUCAUUAUCAAGUGAGAAACCUCAAUCCAGACUCCUUAUAAUGACGUUUGAGAUUUAUGCUGCUGUUAUUUGUUUAGUCCAGACUAAAUGACAGAAAUCUACAACUGCAAUUUUAUUUCAGGACUUGGUUAUUAAAUGUCAAAACAAUCCAUGUGACUCUAAAAACUCAACAGCUUUACAAACUCUCAGAUUAAACUCUCCACAAGGAUCCAAAAUAAGUUGGACUUCUACAUGAGAGCUUUAAUUAUUCUUCAUCUACUUCCUGAAAAGUUUGGUCAAUAAAAAGGACAAAAACUAAUAUUUUCAGCUGAACUAAAGACAGACUUUGUGAUUUUUCUGCUCACAUGUUGUGUUGUUGUAAACUUCCUCUUUCAAAUAAAUAUCCUCCUAACCCCCUGGAAA